rnacentral:rRNA from 1 species
UACGUAGGGUGCAAGCGUUGUCCGGAAUCAUUGGGCGUAAAGAGCGCGUAGGCGGCCCUGUAAGUCCGCUGUGAAAGUCAAGGGCUCAACCCUUGAAUGCCGGUGGAUACUGCAGGGCUAGAGUCCGGAAGAGGCGAGUGGAAUUCCUGGUGUAGCGGUGAAAUGCGCAGAUAUCAGGAGGAACACCGAUGGCGAAGGCAGCUCGCUGGGACGGUACUGACGCUGAGACGCGAAAGCGUGGGGAGCAAACAGG